CAUGUCCUUUUGUUUAUUAAUUUAAGGUUUAACCUGCCCAAUGAGGAAUUCAAUGGCCGCAGUAUUUUAACUGUGCUAAGGUAGCAUAAUCAUUUGUCUUUUAAUUGAGGGCUGGAAUGAAGGGUUGGACGAGGCAUUAGCUUUCUUUGAUUUAAUUUAGGAAUUUAAUUUUUGAGUUAAAAAGCUUAAAUUUAUUUAUGGGACGAGAAGACCCUAUAGAUCUUUAUAAUUUUAUGUUUUAAUAAUUUAGGGAUUUAUAUAUUUUAAGCAGAUGAAUUAUUUUGUUGGGGUGACUGUAGAAUUUAAAUAACUUCUAUUUUUUAUUUUCAUUAAUUAAUGUUUUUUUGAUCCAUAAUUUAUGAUUAGAAGAAUAAGUUACCUUAGGGAUAACAGCGUAAUUUCCUCGGAGAGUUCAUAUUGAUGAGGGAGUUUGCGACCUCGAUGUUGGAUUAAAAUAAGUUGUGGAUGCAGGAGUCUAUUUACUAGGUCUGUUCGACCUUUGAAUUUUUACAUGAUC
rnacentral:rRNA from 1 species